UACGUAGGGUGCAAGCGUUAAUCGGAAUUACUGGGCGUAAAGCGUGCGCAGGCGGUGAUGUAAGACAGAUGUGAAAUCCCUGGGCUCAACCUGGGAACUGCAUUUGUGACUGCAUCGCUAGAGUACGGCAGAGGGGGAUGGAAUUCCGCGUGUAGCAGUGAAAUGCGUAGAUAUGCGGAGGAACACCGAUGGCGAAGGCAAUCCCCUGGGCCUGUACUGACGCUCAUGCACGAAAGCGUGGGGAGCAAACAGG
rnacentral:rRNA from 1 species